UUCGGGGUUAGUGGCGGACGGGUGAGUAACACGUGGGAACGUGCCUUUUGGUUCGGAAUAGCUCCUGGAAACGGGUGGUAAUGCCGAAUGUGCCCUUCGGGGGAAAGAUUUAUCGCCAUUAGAGCGGCCCGCGUCUGAUUAGCUAGUUGGUGAGGUAAAGGCUCACCAAGGCUACGAUCAGUAGCUGGUCUGAGAGGAUGACCAGCCACAUUGGGACUGAGACACGGCCCAAACUCCUACGGGAGGCAGCAGUGGGGAAUCUUGCGCAAUGGGCGAAAGCCUGACGCAGCCAUGCCGCGUGAAUGAUGAAGGUCUUAGGAUUGUAAAAUUCUUUCACCGGGGACGAUAAUGACGGUACCCGGAGAAGAAGCCCCGGCUAACUUCGUGCCAGCAGCCGCGGUAAUACGAAGGGGGCUAGCGUUGCUCGGAAUUACUGGGCGUAAAGGGAGCGUAGGCGGACAUUUAAGUCAGGGGUGAAAUCCCAGAGCUCAACUCUGGAACUGCCUUUGAUACUGGAUGUCUUGAGUGUGAGAGAGGUAUGUGGAACUCCGAGUGUAGAGGUGAAAUUCGUAGAUAUUCGGAAGAACACCAGUGGCGAAGGCGACAUACUGGCUCAUUACUGACGCUGAGGCUCGAAAGCG
rnacentral:rRNA from 1 species